rnacentral:rRNA from 1 species
UGCAGUCGAACGGUAGCAGGAAGUGCUUGCACUUUGCUGACGAGUGGCGGACGGGUGAGUAAUGCUUGGGAACUUGCCUUUGCGAGGGGGAUAACAGUUGGAAACGACUGCUAAUACCGCAUAAUGUCUACGGACCAAACGGGGCUUAGGCUUCGGCGCAGAGAGAGGCCCAAGUGAGAUUAGCUAGUUGGUGGGGUAAAGGCUCACCAAGGCGACGAUCUCUAGCUGUUCUGAGAGGAAGAUCAGCCACACUGGGACUGAGACACGGCCCAGACUCCUACGGGAGGCAGCAGUGGGGAAUAUUGCACAAUGGGGGGAACCCUGAUGCAGCCAUGCCGCGUGUGUGAAGAAGGCCUUCGGGUUGUAAAGCACUUUCAGUUGUGAGGAAAAGUGAGUAGUUAAUACCUGCUCACCGUGACGUUAACAACAGAAGAAGCACCGGCUAACUCCGUGCCAGCAGCCGCGGUAAUACGGAGGGUGCGAGCGUUAAUCGGAAUUACUGGGCGUAAAGCGCACGCAGGCGGUUUGUUAAGCUAGAUGUGAAAGCCCCGAGCUCAACUUGGGAUGGUCAUUUAGAACUGGCAGACUAGAGUCUUGGAGAGGGGAGUGGAAUUCCAGGUGUAGCGGUGAAAUGCGUAGAUAUCUGGAGGAACAUCAGUGGCGAAGGCGACUCCCUGGCCAAAGACUGACGCUCAUGUGCGAAAGUGUGGGUAGCGAACAGGAUUAGAUACCCUGGUAGUCCACACCGUAAACGCUGUCUACUAGCUGUUUGUGGCUUUAAGCCGUGAGUAGCGAAGCUAACGCGAUAAGUAGACCGCC